GACGAACGCUGGCGGCGUGCCUAAUACAUGCAAGUAGAACGCAGUUGCGAACGGGUGAGUAACGUGUAGGUAACUGCCUCAUAGCGGGGGAUAACUAUUGGAAACGAUAGCCAAUACCGCAUACUGUGACCUGGACCUGCGUUGUAUUAGCUCGUUGGUGAGGUAAAGGCUCACCAAGGCGACGAUACAUAGCCGACCUGAGAGGGAGGUCUGCAAACCGGGGACCGAAGCACGGCCCAGACACAUACGGGAGGCAGCAAUAGGGAAUCUUCGUCAAUUGAGGGAAGUCUGACCGAGGAACGCCGGCUGAGUGGAGAAGGUUUUCAGAUUGUAAAGGUCUGUUGAGAGAGAAGCGGUAACUAACCAGAAAGGAACGGCUAACUACGUGCCAGCAGCCGCGGUAAUAC
rnacentral:rRNA from 1 species